ensembl:lncRNA
GUCAACAGCUGACUGUUAAAUGAAUUGCCUCUCUCUUAAUGAAAACAACCAGCUUCUUAUGAGUUUACAGAAGGAAGUGAACCUUCAACCUGGGGAGGUGGUGAUGGAAGGAAUGAACCUAAGAAGUUAGAUUGGUGGGAAGCUUUCAUCAUGUCUCCUGGAUUAAACGUGGGAAAGAAAAUAAUACCCUCAAUUCUCUUCUACUUUUGAAAAGAAUGACAGAGACAGUUAAGGAAUAUGAGCUGCUGUUGUCAGAGCUCACUUUUGCUGAAGUCCCUGGGCGCAUCUUGUUGAAGAAGGAAGAGGCAGAUAAGUUUCUUGUAACUGGAUACAUGAAUGCUCAGUGUGCUUUGAGUCUUCUGAAGAUUAUCUUUCCCAGUCUAGAUGUGGGUCAUGGACCUCUAACUGUCAGGAUCUGGCACAAGCUUAAGACUUGAGAAUUCAAACACGGCCAGAGAAUGUGGGUUUCUGCAUGUUGGUGCAAGGAAUGUGAGUUUCCAAGAAAUAAUGUUGGUGGGAGGAAAAUACCAGGCAUGUUGACUGCUGACAGAAGCCACUUUUGUGCCAAAACUAAGAAAAUAUGCCAAGAGCAGGCAUUCUUCUGAAGCUGUUACCCCUGCAAGACUGCCAGCUGAAAGGGAACGUGUGAUAUCUAGGACAGUGUA